rnacentral:rRNA from 1 species
UGAUCCAGAGUACCACGAGACACGUGAAACCUUGUGGGAAGCAGGGAGGACCACCUCCCAAGGCUAAAUACUACCUGAUGACCGAUAGUGAAGCAGUACCGUGAGGGAAAGGUGAAAAGAACCCCGGGAGGGGAGUGAAAUAGAACCUGAAACCGUGUGCCUACAACCGGUCAAAGCCCCUUAUGAGGGUGAUGACGUGCUUUUUGUAGAACGAGCCAACGAGUUACGGUAUGUAGCAAGGUUAAGUACUUAAGGUACGGAGCCGAAGGGAAACCGAGUCUUAAUAGGGCGACUAGUUGCAUGCCGUAGACCCGAAACCGGGUGACCUAUCCAUGGCCAGGUUGAAGCGGGGGAGUAGUGGAGGUAGAGCACUGAAUGGGCUAGGGGGCAUAGCGCUUACCGAACCUUAUCAAACUCCGAAUGCCACAUACUAUUAGUCCGGCAGUCAGACUGCGAAAGAUAAGUUCCGUAGUCAAAAGGGAAACAGCCCAGAUCGUCAGCUAAGGUCCCAAAGUGUAAGUUAAGUGGAAAAGGAUGUGGGAUUUCUAAGACAACUAGGAUGUUGGCUUAGAAGCAGCCACUCAUUAAAAGAGUGCGUAAUAGCUCACUAGUCGAGAGAUCCUGCGCCGAAGAUGUCCGGGGCUCAAACUUACCACCGAAGCUACGGGUUCACACUUAUGUGUGAGCGGUAGAGGAGCGUCGUAAUCGGGCUGAAGUCGUACCGUAAGGAGCGGUGGACUGAUUACGAGUGAGAAUGUUGGCAUUAGUAGCGAGAUGUGGGUGAGAAUCCCACAGGCCGAAUAUCUAAGGUUUCCUCAGGAAGGUUCGUCCGCUGAGGGUUAGUCGGGACCUAAGCCGAGGCCGAAAGGCGUAGGCGAUGGACAAUCGGUUGAUAUUCCGAUACCACUACUGAUCGUUAUUAUCGAUGGUGUGACGGAGAAGGAUAGAGUGUGCUAGCUAUUGGAUGCUAGUCUAAGCGUUUAGGGAGUUAGGAAAGGCAAAUCCGUCCUAACAAUUCUGAGGCGUGAUGGGGAAGGUUCUACGGAACCGAAGUACUUGAUUCCAUGCUUCCAAGAAAAGCAUCUAGAGAGAGAUGUAGUGCCCGUACCGCAAACCGACACAGGUAGAUGAGGAGAGAAUCCUAAGGCCGGCGGAAGAAUCACAGUUAAGGAACUAGGCAAAUUGACCCCGUAACUUAGGGAGAAGGGGUGCCUGCGAGAGCAGGCCGCAGAGAAUAGGCCCAAGCAACUGUUUAGCAAAAACACAGGUCUCUGCUAAAGCGAAAGCUGAUGUAUAGGGGCUGACGCCUGCCCGGUGCUGGAAGGUUAAGGGGAACACUUAGCGCAAGCGAAGGUGUGAACUUAAGCCCCAGUAAACGGCGG